rnacentral:rRNA from 1 species
GGAGCUUGCUCCACCGGAAAAAGAAGAGUGGCGAACGGGUGAGUAACACGUGGGUAACCUGCCCAUCAGAAGGGGAUAACACUUGGAAACAGGUGCUAAUACCGUAUAACAAUCGAAACCGCAUGGUUUUGAUUUGAAAGGCGCUUUCGGGUGUCGCUGAUGGAUGGACCCGCGGUGCAUUAGCUAGUUGGUGAGGUAACGGCUCACCAAGGCCACGAUGCAUAGCCGACCUGAGAGGGUGAUCGGCCACAUUGGGACUGAGACACGGCCCAAACUCCUACGGGAGGCAGCAGUAGGGAAUCUUCGGCAAUGGACGAAAGUCUGACCGAGCAACGCCGCGUGAGUGAAGAAGGUUUUCGGAUCGUAAAACUCUGUUGUUAGAGAAGAACAAGGAUGAGAGUAACUGUUCAUCCCUUGACGGUAUCUAACCAGAAAGCCACGGCUAACUACGUGCCAGCAGCCGCGGUAAUACGUAGGUGGCAAGCGUUGUCCGGAUUUAUUGGGCGUAAAGCGAGCGCAGGCGGUUUCUUAAGUCUGAUGUGAAAGCCCCCGGCUCAACCGGGGAGGGUCAUUGGAAACUGGGAGACUUGAGUGCAGAAGAGGAGAGUGGAAUUCCAUGUGUAGCGGUGAAAUGCGUAGAUAUAUGGAGGAACACCAGUGGCGAAGGCGGCUCUCUGGUCUGUAACUGACGCUGAGGCUCGAAAGCGUGGGGAGCAAACAGGAUUAGAUACCCUGGUAGUCCACGCCGUAAACGAUGAGUGCUAAGUGUUGGAGGGUUUCCGCCCUUCAGUGCUGCAGCUAACGCAUUAAGCACUCCGCCUGGGGAGUACGACCGCAAGGUUGAAACUCAAAGGAAUUGACGGGGGCCCGCACAAGCGGUGGAGCAUGUGGUUUAAUUCGAAGCAACGCGAAGAACCUUACCAGGUCUUGACAUCCUUUGACCACUCUAGAGAUAGAGCUUCCCCUUCGGGGGCAAAGUGACAGGUGGUGCAUGGUUGUCGUCAGCUCGUGUCGUGAGAUGUUGGGUUAAGUCCCGCAACGAGCGCAACCCUUAUUGUUAGUUGCCAUCAUUUAGUUGGGCACUCUAGCAAGACUGCCGGUGACAAACCGGAGGAAGGUGGGGAUGACGUCAAAUCAUCAUGCCCCUUAUGACCUGGGCUACACACGUGCUACAAUGGGAAGUACAACGAGUCGCGAAGUCGCGAGGCUAAGCUAAUCUCUUAAAGCUUCUCUCAGUUCGGAUUGUAGGCUGCAACUCGCCUACAUGAAGCCGGAAUCGCUAGUAAUCGCGGAUCAGCACGCCGCGGUGAAUACGUUCCCGGGCCUUGUACACACCGCCCGUCACACCACGAGAGUUUUAACACCCGAAGUCGGUGAGGU